GGAAGGUUACUCAAGUGGUUGAAGAGGAACGCUUGGAAAGCGUUUAGCACUGUAACAGGUGGCAUGGGUUCGAAUCCCAUACCUUCCG
rnacentral:tRNA from 1 species